rnacentral:rRNA from 1 species
UACGAAGGGGGCUAGCGUUGCUCGGAAUCACUGGGCGUAAAGCGCACGUAGGCGGGUCGUUAAGUCGGGGGGGAAAUCCUGGAGCUCAACUCCAGAACUGCCUUCGAUACUGGCGACCUUGAGUCCGGGAGAGGUGAGUGGAACUCCGAGUGUAGAGGUGAAAUUCGUAGAUAUUCGGAAGAACACCAGUGGCGAAGGCGGCUCACUGGCCCGGUACUGACGCUGAGGCGCGAAAGCUAGGGGAGCAAACGGG